rnacentral:rRNA from 1 species
CAAUAGCGUAUAUUAAAGUUGUUGCAGUUAAAAAGCUCGUAGUUGGAUUUCUGGUAGGAGUGACCGUUCCGAACUUGAUUGUUCGUGUAUUGUGUUUUCUCCAGCCAUCCUUGUGGAGAACUUUUCUUGCAUUUAUUUGUAGGGAUUGGGACCCGCAUCGUUUACUGUGAAAAAAUUAGAGUGUUUAAAGCAGGCAGUCGCUUGAAUACAUUAGCAUGGAAUAAUAAGAUAGGACUUUGGUACUAUUUUGUUGGUUUGCAUACCAAAUUAAUGAUCAACAGGAACAGUUUGAGGAUAUUCGUAUGAACAUGUCAGAGGUGAAAUUCUUGGAUUUUGAUCAGACGAACUACUGCGAAAGCAUUUAUCAAGGAUGUUUUCAUUA